GACAGAGGAUGCAAGCGUUAUCCGGAAUGAUUGGGCGUAAAGCGUCUGUAGGUGGCUUUUCAAGUCCGCCGUCAAAUCCCAGGGCUCAACCCUGGACAGGCGGUGGAAACUACCAAGCUGGAGUCCGGAAGAGGAGAGUGGAAUUCCUGGUGUAGCGGUGAAAUGCGCAGAUAUCAGGAAGAACACCCGUGGCGAAGGCGGCUCUCUGGGACGGUACUGACGCUGAGACGCGAAAGCGUGGGGAGCGAACAGG
rnacentral:rRNA from 1 species